GGCUCAGAGGUUAAAGUGUCUGCCUGGAAUGCAGGAGACCAGGGUUCGAUCCCUG
rfam:Ovis aries breed Texel chromosome 17, whole genome shotgun sequence.